GUCGAGCGGGCACCUUCGGGUGUCAGCGGCAGACGGGUGAGUAACACGUGGGAACGUACCCUUUGGUUCGGAAUAACGCAUGGAAACGUGCGCUAAUACCGGAUACGCCCUUUUGGGGAAAGGCUUGCUGCCGAAGGAUCGGCCCGCGUCUGAUUAGCUAGUUGGUGGGGUAAUGGCCUACCAAGGCGACGAUCAGUAGCUGGUCUGAGAGGAUGAUCAGCCACACUGGGACUGAGACACGGCCCAGACUCCUACGGGAGGCAGCAGUGGGGAAUAUUGGACAAUGGGCGCAAGCCUGAUCCAGCCAUGCCGCGUGAGUGAUGAAGGCCUUAGGGUUGUAAAGCUCUUUUGUCCGGGACGAUAAUGACGGUACCGGAAGAAUAAGCCCCGGCUAACUUCGUGCCAGCAGCCGCGGUAAUACGAAGGGGGCUAGCGUUGCUCGGAAUCACUGGGCGUAAAGGGCGCGUAGGCGGCCAUUCAAGUCGGGGGUGAAAGCCUGUGGCUCAACCACAGAAUUGCCUUCGAUACUGUUUGGCUUGAGUAUGGUAGAGGUCAGUGGAACUGCGAGUGUAGAGGUGAAAUUCGUAGAU
rnacentral:rRNA from 1 species